GCGAGACGCCGUCUCAAAAUAAAAACCAAAAACAAACAAAUAAAAACAACCAAACAACAAAAAAGUAGUAUACUCACAUAUUAUUAUUCAAUAUUAAAGUGGAGGAAAAUUCUGGCAAAUCCUGCAACAUGGAUAAACCUUGAAGGCAUUACAGAAGUGAAUUAAGUCAGCCACAAAAUGACAAAUAUUGUAUGAUUCCACUUUUAAGAGGCACAAGAGUAGUCAAGUUCAUAGAGACAGAAAACAGAAUGGUGAUUGAUGGGCACUGGGAAGAGGGGAGGGAUGAAGUUGUUAUUUAAUGGGCAUAGGGUUUUAGUUUGGGAUGAUUACAAAGUUCUGGUGAUGGUUGCACAUGAGUUUGAAUGGAGUUAAUGCCACUGAAUGGUUCAUCUAAAAAUGGCUAAAAUACUAGAUCUUAUGUUAUACAUAUUUCACUACAACACAGAAUUUGAGAAGUUGAUUCUAAAAUUCAUGAAAAUGUAGAGGAUGUAGAAUAGCAGGCGGAAAAAAAAAGCUUUUUUUUUUUUUUGAGACAGGGUCUUCCUCUGUCACCCAGGCUGGAGUGCAGUGGCAUGAUCACAGGUCACUGCAGGCUUGACCUCUUGGGCUCAAUCGAUCCUCCCACCUCAGCUUCCCAAGUAACUGGGAGUACAGGCAUGUGCCACCACACCCAGCUAAUUUUUGUGUUCAAAAUUUUGAAUAAGACUGGCAUUGAAGGAAAAAGCUACAAUAAUCAAGGUAGUGUGGUAUUGGUUGACAGAUAGAUACAAAAAUAAAGGAAUAGAAUAGAAAGUACAGAAAUAGACCCACACAAAUAUCAUCAAUUGAUUCCUAACAAAAUUGUGAAGGCAAUCAGUGGAGAAAGUAUAGUUUUUUCAAGAAAUGGUACUAAACAAUUCACAUACAUAUGCCGAAAAAAACCCCAAAACUUAAACCCAUUAUGCUAAAAUUGACUCAAAAUGGAUUAUAGGGAUACUUCCAAACUCAUAUUAUGAGACCAGUAUCACUCUGAUACUAAAACCAGGCAAAGGCAUUAGCAGAAGCCAGGCACAGUGGCUCACGCCUGCAAUCCUGGCAUUUUGGGAGACCACAGCGGGAGGAUCGUUUAAGGCCAGGAGAUUGAGACCAGCCCGGGCAACUUGGCAAGACUUCAUCUCUACAAAAAUAAUUUUUUUUUUUAAUUGGCUGGGUGUGGUGGUGCAGCUCUGCAGCCCCAGCUACUCAGGAGGCUGAGGCAGGAGGAUCACUUGAGGGUAGGAGACUGAGUCUGCAGUGAGCUGUUUUCAUAUCACUGUACUCCAGCCUGGGCAACAGACUGAGUCCCUAUCUCAAAAAAAAAAAAAAAAAAAAA
rnacentral:lncRNA from 1 species